AGCUUCUGUGGCGCAUGCGUAGUUUAGUAUUUACCCGAAGCAACAUUCGUUACCACAGUGACGACACUGAGAUGCAGGCGAGGACUUGUGCGAAAAUUGGCGUGAUUUAUUUAUUUUUUAUAUACAAGCUUAUGCAGUGAUGCCGCAUUUAACGCUAGAGUCGAUCCAAACUGUAAGAUUAUCCACUAUGUAUUUAUUAAACACUACGUAGCCUAUAUAUUUCUAUUAAUUUGUCUCAUUUCGUUUCAAAUUUGCAAUGACCAUAAAUAAAUUGUAUUACUUCUGCUUCGUUUAGGCAAUAUUGCAUCAGAUCAUGAUUCAAAACACCGAUUUGCGCUUGUGGUUUGCUCCACUUCAAAUGUAUGUUUAGUCAGAAAAUAAUAUUAAUUAACAUGCAAUGUUAAAGGGGUGUGUUUAAUUUAGCAUUUUUCAAGUCCCUUUUGUGUUUUUAUUACGCAUUGGACCGACACCGUUCUUCCCUUGCUCUUCUCAUCUUGACACUGCGCGGUGUUCUUUGGAUCAACGUAUCAAGGGCGUGGAUCUACUUUACGUCAUAAAAUCUACACUUGGAAAAAGGAAUGCUGUCCCCCUCAAAAAUGUCCAGAACUUUGCUGAAAUUUGUAGAGAAGAAAUCAAUUGAAUGAAUCGUUGGCACACACAUGGCUCAGUCCAGUUAUAGAGACUUCUCACUUUCACACAGCCUGCUGCCAAGGUUGCUGACCUGACCUCAGAACUUGGGGGUUAUUUUGCAGACAUCUUUCUGAAAAUAGAUCCAAAUCUGCUUUGCAACAGGAAUCAUUUUGAUACACAAAUAUUUCUUGAGGAAAAAAAAAAGUGAGAAACAGAUAUACAAUUAUUUAUUUUCUCAUAUUAAAUCGUAUAUUUUCAUGUCUUGGCAUCAAAUGUUUACCCACACUUGAUGCACAAAUAUCUUAGAACUACUAGCUACCUCCUAAUAUAAAGAAAGUGAUCAUUUAUUAUUAGAAUCACGCUCUGUAUCUGGUGGUUUGCAAGACACUUUGUUUUCUUCUGUAGACUCUCUACUCCUCUGAGGCUAAAGCUUUGAUUUAAGCCUUUGAUAUGGACAUAUGGAUGGAUGUAUGAACAAUAUACAUAAGCUUGUAUUUGCUAUUUUCUUCAUGCUGUGUUGGAAAAAUUUUGGGACAAUGUAUUCAGAAGAUUAUGAAUCCUACACAGCCAGCUGUUUGGAUUCAUUAACACACUCAGUGGUGAAAUUCAGCACUUUUGCAAUCAAUUCUACCAACAGAAAUGCCAUUUUUCAAUACUUACUCCUAUUACAUUGUACCUGAAAAAAUGAAGAGGCAAAAUGAUUUUCCUAAGAUAUUAUGGGUAAUGUUUUCGGGGCUUUUCCAUAUUAAAUUAAUGCCAUGUAAACUCAAUAGACUAAGAAAUAAAAAGAGACUAGGUAUAAUCAAAGAAUAGCCUCCCCCCUAGUUUGAGCACCAGAUGGUACAUCCCUGUCUCUCCUCCUCUCGCUCUCAUUCUCCUCCCUCCUGCUUUCAGUGUCCUCCAUCUCUACCCUUUCUCUCAUUUUCUAAUACUGAGGACAUUCUAACUUCCAGACUGCUGUGCUUCCUCGUCCAUCUGCUGUUCUUGUAAUCUCUAAGGAGCUAUUGGAGAGUGAAGCAGCACAGAGCUGACCUUAUAAAGACUCCUCCUGGUCAGACCACACCUCUGUCUCAGUCCAUGGAAGCCAAGGCCAAGUCCGGCGCUCCAGCGCCCAAAGCAGCAUCUAAAGCAGAGAAGAAGGAGCCGGUAGCCCCACGCAAGGCUGACCCUGCCCCUGCCGCCCCUGAGCCUGAGCAUCCUCCUCCCUCCCAGGAUGGAGCAGCAGAAGCUGAAACAGCAGCAGGUGACGAGGCUGCGGCCUCCGGCACAGACUCUCUGGAGCACCUGAAGCCCUUUCUCAUUGGUGGUGUUGUUAUCGCUGCAGGAGCCAUCUUGCUGGGAGUGUUGCUACUGGCAAGGAGAAAUUAAAACCAAAUCAUUAUUGCAAGUUAGAGUAUUUAUUGGUUGAUGAGCUUAGAGUGUUGUUGCUGAUUGGUUCACAGACUAUCAUGGGGGAUGGGGAGCCACUGUGCAUUUUUUUUUGUCUUUUUUUUGACCUGCUUUCACUUGUUGUGAAUCAAAGCAUUCAAGUUUUGAUCAAGGCUGUAUAUGGAGCAUAAUUAUACAUAGUAUAUGCAUGAAUAUGCUACAAUACUCCAUCUGAAAUGUAAUUAUGUAUUUCUAAAAAAAACUUACAUUGUAUUACAGAGCUUAAAUGCCUAAACUCUCUAAAGGUAGCUUGUUCAACUGCUUUAUCUUGUUUAAUUCAGUUUGUGCAAAUAUUGACAUAAGAUUGCAGUAUUUGUGCAUUCUUUCACCGGAAAUGAGCUUGGUUCACUUUGCUAAAAGAUCAUGAAGAACUGUAUUCAUAUUAUUGAAACUUAUAGCUAUUGACAUUGUGUAUCAGAGUUAUAGGUUAUAUUUUAUUUUAAAAUAAGACAAUUGAAAGAGCAGGCUGGAGAACAGCCGAGAUUAUGCACUGUGAUCUAUUGCACAUACUUUGGCUAUAUCAUUGCCUGAUUGAAGGGAUUCAGUUUCUCUUUCAGAGUGCAGUGAGACAUCAAAGACAUCAAAUCUCUAAUUGUAAAAAAGUCAAAUACAAAAUGGCACAGUGCAAUAAACUUUCUCAGCUAUAGAACAUAUAAGCAUGCAGUGGUUGAGAAAUGGCAUGUAAGGGACUGUUGGACAUAAAACAUGUACACUAUGGAACAGAGAACAGUUGUGAUGUUACUUAUUGCUGUAGAAUACAAAAGAGAUUUAUUUUACUGUCAAAUAUUAUCACAAAUCAAUAACCUUUCAUGUCUUACACGACAGUCACAGUCAUGCUAGUUCAGUCUGUUUACAUCUUGCAGUAUGCAGAUGCUUCAUUGUGGCAGCCUGAACAGCCAUUAGUGUUGCAGUAUCAGGUUUAAAGCCUGCUGCCAAACAUGGGAGUUGUUUCAGUCAACACUAUACUCCCCUGACAGUUGCAAAAUCUUGUUUUCAAAACCACAUUAAUGACAUUGAAGUACAAUUUUAAUGUAUUGAGAGCAUCCUAAACUGCAAAUACAGCAGAAGCUGGAUGUAAAUGAACUACUGUCUAUAGUUUACUUGAAGGGGGAAAAAUAUGUUAAGCAGUCACAAUUUUGUCACUGCAUAACUCACCUGUACAGCUGUACACAAUCUUUUUAACUCACACUGUGGUUGUCCCUGUUGCAUAAGUAGAUAGCAGAAAGACACAAUUCUGACACAAACCAUCACUUAAUUUUAGUUGUAAGGGUAUAGAUUUCACACAUUACUGGCCAAAAAAUAUUGUAUGAACAUACCACAUUUAACACCCCAGACAUAUUCAAAAGAUAGUAUGCCAACACCAAAACAAACUUCACCUUACAUUGUACAAUACAGUGUACCAAAAAAAGAGAAAAUUCCUAUUUUCAUAAUUUCAACAGCGUAUAAAUGCAAUAAUUCAGAUAGGACUCCUCAUUUAGCACAUGUGCUGUAGCAAUUUAAAUUAUAUAAACAAUGUAAUAAUGUAUUAUCUUAGAGAUGGUAAAGAUGGUGAUGUUGUAAGAUGAUGAAAAAAGGGUAAUGAUGAUGUUUUCAGUGGUGACUGUAAUGACUAUAAUGAUGGUUAUAUUUUUUUAUAUAUUUCUAACAUAUUUUCCUUAUGCACCCUCCCCUCUGCCCCCAAACUUCUAAAUGUAAAAAAGAAAGCGUUUGAAAUCCAACCUUAUUAAAAGGCAGUGAACCAGC